rnacentral:rRNA from 1 species
AUUGAACGCUGGCGGCAGGCCUAACACAUGCAAGUCGAGCGAGUGGCGUAGGGGUGAGUAAUGUAUGUGACACUGCCUGAUGGAGGGGGAUAAGUACUGGAAACGAUAGCUAAUACCGCAUACCUUCGUAUGUGCCCAGAUGGGAUUAUCUAGGAGGUGAGGUAAAGGCUCACAUAGGCGACGAUCCCUAGCUGGUCUGAGAGGAUGACCAGCCACACUGGAACUGAGACACGGCCCAGACUCCUACGGGAGGCAGCAGUGGGGAAUAUUGCACAAUGGGCGAAAGCCUGAUGCAGCCAUGCCGCGGGUAUGAAGAAGGCCUUCGGGUUGUAAAGUACUUUCAGCUGGGAGGCGUUACCCACAGAAGAAGCACCGGCUAACUCCGUGCCAGCAGCCGCGGUAAUUC